CGUGGGUGAUCUGCCCUGCACUUCGGGAUAAGCCUGGGAAACUGGGUCUAAUACCGGAUAGGRCCACGGGAUGCAUGUCUUGUGGUGGAAAGCGCUUUAGCGGUGUGGGAUGAGCCCGCGGCCUAUCAGCUUGUUGGUGGGGUGACGGCCUACCAAGGCGACGACGGGUAGCCGGCCUGAGAGGGUGUCCGGCCACACUGGGACUGAGAUACGGCCCAGACUCCUACGGGAGGCAGCAGUGGGGAAUAUUGCACAAUGGGCGCAAGCCUGAUGCAGCGACGCCGCGUGGGGGAUGACGGCCUUCGGGUUGUAAACCUCUUUCACCAUCGAMGAAGGUCCGGGUUCUCUCGGAUUGACGGUAGGUGGAGAAGAAGCACCGGCCAACUACGUGCCAGCAGCCGCGGUAAUACGUAGGGUGCGAGCGUUGUCCGGAAUUACUGGGCGUAAAGAGCUCGUAGGUGGUUUGUCGCGUUGUUCGUGAAAUCUCACGGCUUAACUGUGAGCGUGCGGGCGAUACGGGCAGACUAGAGUACUCCAGGGGAGRYUGGAAUUCCUGGUGUAGCGGUGGAA
rnacentral:rRNA from 1 species